CUGGCAUUACCUCAACCCUUUCUCUGCUCUAACUAAAAGGAGACUAUUAUCUAGAUGAUGGCUCCCCGGGGCAUUACCAGUAUGGCCACCACAUGAACUUGCCUGCCUUACAGGAUCUUUAAAAGCAGCACACCACCAUGAUCCAGAAAAUGAAACGGAGCACAUCUGACAAAGGGACAACUGCAGUUCUUCAAAGACCCCCUUAAAAUAAAGCACCAAAUGCAUCUUAUCA
ensembl:lncRNA